rnacentral:rRNA from 1 species
AGGUUACUGCUAUCGGUGUUCGCCUAAGCCAUGCGAGUCAUAUGUUCGUAAGAACAUGGCGUACUGCUCAGUAACACGUGGAUAACCUGCCCUUGGGUCCGGCAUAACCCCGGGAAACUGGGGAUAAUUCCGGAUAACGCACAUAUGCUGGAAUGCUUUAUGCGUAAAAUGGAUUCGUCUGCCCAAGGAUGGGUCUGCGGCCUAUCAGGUAGUAGUGGGUGUAAUGUACCUACUAGCCUACGACGGGUACGGGUUGUGAGAGCAAGAGCCCGGAGAUGGAUUCUGAGACAUGAAUCCAGGCCCUACGGGGCGCAGCAGGCGCGAAAACUUUACAAUGCGGGAAACCGUGAUAAGGGGACACCGAGUGCCAGCAUCCUAUGCUGGCUGUCCGGGUGUGUAAAAUACACCUGUUAGCAAGGGCCGGGCAAGACCGGUGCCAGCCGCCGCGGUAACACCGGCGGCCCGAGUGGUGAUCGUGAUUAUUGGGUCUAAAGGGUCCGUAGCCGGUUUGGUCAGUCCUCCGGGAAAUCUGACAGCUUAACUGUUAGGCUUUCGGAGGAUACUGCCAGACUUGGAACCGGGAGAGGUAAGAGGUACUACAGGGGUAGGAGUGAAAUCUUGUAAUCCCUGUGGGGCCACCUGUGGCGAAGGCGUCUUACCAGAACGGGUUCGACGGUGAGGGACGAAAGCUGGGGGCACGAACCGGAUUAGAUACCCGGGUAGUCCCAGCCGUAAACGAUGCUCGCUAGGUGUCAGGCAUGGCGCGACCGUGUCUGGUGCCGCAGGGAAGCCGUGAAGCGAGCCACCUGGGAAGUACGGCCGCAAGGCUGAAACUUAA